CGGCGCCCGACACCAGGCUGCAGACCACGAGCGGCAGGAUCACCAUCCGCAGCAUCCGCAGCAGCAGCUCCCCGGGGAAGGCCAGGAACCUCUCAUGGAGGCAGGAGCCAUCCUCUGCACCAGGACAGGCUGUGUCUGUGUCCCCUGUCCCCAUGGUCAAAGCCAUUCAGCAAGUCCGUGGGUUCAUCCGGGUGAUGAGGACACAGGGACUCUGAGCACCCUUCCUUGAGGAAACCCACGUCUGACCACACGAGCUGGUUGUCUGAGGAGCAGACAAUGUCUGUGAUGAUACAAGGGCCUGAUAAAUGUCACUUGGAGCUUUCAAACCCACAAGAGCCUCAUGGGUGCACUACUGUCAUGUUUGCUCACAAGGGCACUUCCAGGAGCUCCAGCCGGUGUUUGGACUCUGUCGGGGGCUCCAUUUCAGUUUGUUCCCCUGACAUCAGCAAAGCACAGCCUAGCAGAAAACACGCUGGGAAAACAACCGGCCACACAUCUGCUUUUUGAGUAGACUGUGCUAAUUAAAGAGACUGACAGGGUGUGAUGGGACAAUAAUCCUGAUUUAAUAAGACUCUUCUGCUUUCCAAUCUCAUGGAUAGACCUGAAGAUCGCUAUACCAUGGCUGGAGCUGCUGGGAAUUGUCUGUGUGUAAAUAGGUAACAACACCACUAACAAGCAGUUGUGUUCACCACCAUCCACUUCAGAGCUUGAUGAAAAUUCUUGAUUCGCUCUUGUGCUGAAGUUAAGACUCGCGAUACCAGGCACAUUCUUAUUGAUUUUGUAUUUUUUUCCCUGCUAACUUUCCCUUUCAGUAACACUUGGUUUGUGGAAGUCUGUGAAUCAAUAGAGAGCAGAGAUAGGAAACAGAGACGAGAGUAAACAGGAAAACAAGUGUCUGCAAACACUUUUAAACACAUUCAAUUCCACAAACCUCAAAAGGACAAAAAAGUUAUGUAGAUCUUUUAAAAUUGGGUUUGAAUUUUUUUCUGCAAAUAGGUUUGUGAAUAAUAAACAAGUUACUGUCCAAUGUAAUUGUUUCUUUCACCAUCAGAAGCAUUUCUAAAAUGGUUUUUAAAUUAAUAUUUUCAGAGCAUUCUUUGUGAAAAUGUCAUGCUUCAUUUUUUCCUUGCAUUUUUCCCUGCCAUUCUCUCUUGAUCCCACCCUUUUUUCUUUCCAUUGACCCAUGAGAAGGGGAAGAGAAAAGCAAAAAAGAAGGAAAAUUAUAAAAUAAUUAUGAAAAUAAAUCUAUUCCUUGUUUCAGUUGAGAAAAGAUUCUAAAACCAAACAACAAACAUAAAUGCUGUUCCCUUGUGCAAACUGAAAGCAAGGGGAGAAAUUCAAGAAAGUGUGAACAAGAAGAAUGUAUUAAAUCAGAAACCUCAUUCAUAGCGGCACAUGUAUGAGACCAGUGCAAGAACUAACACAGAACCUUUUCCACCAUAUGAUGGUAGACUCCUUCUCUCUUGGGGCAUCCCCCCAUUUCCUUGUGGCACUGGCUUUGCUCAGAGCAGUGCCACGAGAACAGCCACGUGACCUGCAGGAACACACACCUCCAAGACUGUAGAUCCCAGUGAAAGUUCUGUAACCCAUGCUGAGGCUGUUUGAUAGCCAGCCCUUCAAAAAGAACACUUUGACAUAGGGAUGCUGGUGUCGAGCUUCCUGGUCAAUGACACCAUGGGAAUUCAGAUUCCCAAUUUCUUCUUUCUAUUUUCCCGCCUCUUGAUUUUCUGAUUAAAAACUGAUCCAAACAGUUAUCCCUCCUCUCUUGACAUCUCUCCAGAUGACAAUGCUUUUGUCAACAAGAAGACAACAGAGCACAUGAACCUCCCACCAUACAAUGGACAUGAUCCCAAAGAUGUUCUAGGCAAAGCUGACUGUUUUUCCACACCCUGUGAGAGUUCAUGGAUGGCUGCAGUGAUUAACCCCAAAGCCCGCUGGCUUAUUCAGUAGUAAUCGUUGACUGAUCCAUUGUGUCAUGUUUUCAUUUCAGCACUUGUAGAUCUUGGGAGCUUUCCAGUGAGUGAGUCUGCAUGUUUCCAAUGUCCACCCUGCUGGUGUUUCUAAAUUAGGGAUUUUGACUUUCCCUACUGAAACUUGAAGAUUCUUUUUUUGGCUUAAGUGGCUUUCACCUGCACGGGCCUAGGGUGCUUCCUCCAGAAAUCAACAGAGGGAUCGUAAACAUUCAACAACAACAACAACAAAACAACCAGAAAAAAAAAUCCAGUUACUUUUAAAUAAAAUUUUUAAAAAUCCUUUUGCUUUUGGUGAAGAAACAGCCAAUAUAGUUUUCACCACUGGCCCAGGAAGGAAGAUGUCAUGCUGUUUGCCAGUCAAAUUUAACUUAAUACCAAUUUUUGAUGGUAGGUAUUUGAAAUUUCGGCCUCAGUGGAAGGAAUGAAACAAUCUUAAUGUCUGCAAGGGAACCAGGUCCUUCCCCUCUAUGUUUCAUCACCAAGCAAGCAGAUCACAGGACCCCUUUUCAGCCAUUUCCAUCACAGAUGUUCCUAUUUUGGGAAGGGAAGUUGAUAGCAAGACCUCUCAGAGGAAAAGCUUACAGCUCCUUUAUCCUGCUGCUUAUCCACUCCCACUGUUAAAUUUUAGCACAAUGUUGCUGCACAUCAGUGGGAUGGACACUUAUAGUAGGAUCUAUGUAAUCUAGCUGCUGCCUCCUGGAAAUGUAGGGUCUAAUUUUAAUGCCCCUAGGAAACAGAGGUGAUGGUUUUCCCCACCUGUGGAAGGUCAACACAAAGACUGGAAGGAGUCAGGUUUGAAUUUCUUUGCUAGGGGAGGAGAGGAGGGCCUUCAAAGAGCUGUUUGCCACUCCCUGAGUCUCACAUCUGAUACAUACAAGUCUCAGCACCUGGCACAGGUUAGAGUAGCCCUCAGGCCACAUUUCCUACAAACCUGCAUAGCAUCAGGAGUGCAGAGAACACUCAUUGUGCACUUCUGCUUCCCUCUGUCUUCCUGCUGCUAUUUCCCUCUCCUUAAGACUGGCAAAGUCGUCUGCAGCUUUUUCCUUGGGUCUAGCUGCUGUUUGCUCUCUGUUGUUGGGAGACUCAACAGAAACAUCUGUAGGCUUCAAGAGAAUUCAGCCAUCAGUCAUCUCCUGCGACUGCUUUGAUUUGAAGUAGUUUGAAGAGUGAUGCCUCGAAGGCAAGGUGGGGGAGGAAAGAACAAGAUGAAAGGGAAGAGGGCAGGAAGGGAUUGCAUUUUAUAUUCAUGUUUUUCAAGAGAAGCUUGAAUAAAGGUGCUCCCAGACAUCCCAACGGAGAUGUGCUGGGCAGCCUGCAGUGUCCUAAGGGGCUGUAUUACAGUGUGGCUUUUUCUGAGGAGGAUUCAUGAAGAGCACAUGAGAGAGAUCUUGUUUUCUACUGAGCAAAGGAAAGUCCUCUGAAGAGCCACAGCACUUGAGCUGAGGCAGGAAGGCCUAGAGCACUUCCUUGGUAUGCAGACUUUAGUUUGGCAAGAAGAUUUUGUUGGGCCUGGGAUGCCAAGCAGUUUGGACAGGCUCCAGCCCCUUUGCAGAAAUGCUCUCUGCCUGCAUCUGGGAGGAACAUGAGAUGUGCUCCUCAGCUCUUCCCAGUGCCCCUGGCCUGCUCACCUCAUUGCAAGCUGGAUGCAGGACCAGCUACCCCUGCACAGUUACCUGGAUUUACUAGAAUGAGCCAGAUUUCAAGACAUCUGAAACCACAGAAAGAAACCCCCUGGCCUCCAGUGAUGACAGAGCCAAAGAAUAUUGCUCUGGCCCGGCUUCAUUUAGGUUCCUGACUAGCAGCUGAAAUAAUACAGUCCCAAACACAAUCCUACCACGGUGUCACAUGUUGAUUCAGCAUUUCUCCAGGCUAGGUAAGUGCUCACACCUGAUCAAAAAUAUUCUGAGUAGGAAAAAAAAUUCCUCCGUAAAUUCAUUUUCUAAUAGCAGAGGCAGGCAAGGAAUUUUGCAAAUACCACUUGCUUGCCCAAACUCCAACAAAAUAUAAACUCUGCAGACAGGAAUGGUUGACCUAGGGUAAAUGUUUAACUUUAUCCUUCAAAGGCACGUGGAGUUUUACCAGCAAGAAGAUGAAAAAUAUAGAAAAUACACACACACACAUACCUUGUUUGUGCUAAGGAUCCUUUAACAGCUCUGGAAACAAAGUUAUAUUGAGGCAGGAAUAAUUUUAAAACUGUGUGGUGUUGUUCCUUUUUUCAAAACCAUCAUAAUAUAAAAGCAUCAAGAAAAGCCAAUCACUCCCCAAGAUUAGGGGAAUUUUCUCCUUCAUAAGCUCUCCCUGAGGUUUUUCUUUGAGUUUAAAGCAAGGAAAAGCAGGGAAAAGUAGGGGAAAAGGGCAAGAACAAGCACAGACAUUCAAGAUCUUGGAUAUGUGACAACCUGUCCUAGCAGGGGACGUUGCCUCUAGCUGGUGGGGGAGAUUCAGGGUCAGGCUUUUCAAAACAAGCUGGGCUGAUCUGAAAGCAAGCUGUGUGAUCUCCCCUCGCAGUGAAGCUUUGCUACUGAAGAAGCGAGGGAAGCGACCGGAGCGUCUCAGCCAUGGGAAACAUGCUUGAAUGAAGAGCUUGAAAGUGCUCCAAGUGCCUGCUGAGUUCUCCCGUGGUAGUGGGUUGAUAAAGUGCCUUGUCACUGGCAGGAGGUGGGUAAGUUGGACAUCUGAGGAUUUGCCUGGCAUUCAAGGAUCCAUACACAAGCAGAGCGUGCAUUGAUUUACAUCAGCUGUAUGGAAUAUGAUAUAAAAAGCAACAUUAGGGGGAAAAAAAGUGUGAGCAAUUUCUGAACGUUGAUUGUGAUUCAGUGGCUAGAAGCAACAAGGGGAAUCUCUAUCCUUACAUAUUUUAUCCCUGAUUACGGUAUGACAAUGAAUACUGUAUCCCUGAUUAUGGGUGACAGUAAACCGGGAUGACAGUGAGCAGGAAUGACAAAACUUCUGCCAAGGAACACAGGGGACCGUGCAGCUGCCCUUUGGCCACUGUAAGGCUGUCUCCCCAUGCCUCCAGCUUGCUGCAGGAUGUGACAGUGGCCACACCAAGGGGCUGUGGGAGCCAACGUGGGGACCAAACACGUCUUUGAGAAGUAACUGGAAAAGAACAUAAGGAGCCAUGAAAAUAUGUGGAAAUGCAGGGCAGUCACAUAUAUCUAAGGAAAAUGGUAAAUGCAUACUCAAAAGAAAGAAGAAACACAGAAACAUGUGUGAUGAGACUGCAGGUUAGUAUGGAAAUAACCUCAAAGUCUUCAAAGUCACAGCAGGGUGUUGCAUUGCUGCUCUCUCCCUUUCCUCCCAACAUGUUUGCAUCAUGGAAGAUGAGCUUUUUGCUGCUAAAGUCCACAGUUUCAGAUGUGUUUCUUAGCUGGACCUGGAAAGCACAUAGGUACCUGAUGUUUUUCUGGGGCUUGUAGUUCUCAGUGAUCUCAAAGUCUUUGAGAAUCUGAGCUUACUUUACCUAUUGUACAAUUUUCAAACAUGCCUAGGCUACUGUAGGUAUGUGAGAUACCUGCUGGGAUCUCCAAAGGCCCUUUUACUCGCCUGAACUGAUGCAAUUUUAGCUCCCUAUGAAGCAGCAUCAUUAUCAAAUCCAGGCGAAACAAAACAAACAGCAACAUACCUGUGCAGAGUAGAUUACACAUCACUGUGGCUGUGUAACAGUCCUGUUACUGCAGGUUUUGGAGUAAUAGCCCAGCUGGGAAUUAAGAUGAGAAAAACAAGGCAGGAGGAGCGUGAACUUUCCACCUGCCUGAAAUCAGGGCCAAGACCUCCUGCAUCAGGGAGUGCAAUUCACCUCUGGCACAGUGCAGCCACAGAGUAGAGAGUCAGCCCCAGGGUGAAGCCCCCUGGUCCAGCACUGGGGCUGCCAAUCUGUGGGACACAUGUGCUUUUUGGGGGUGGGUGAAGAGGUCCUAACUCAGCUUGUUACCCCCAGCUUGCAAAGGAGGUUUGAGAAAAAUGAAGAGAGGCAAAGCCACCCUCCAUCCCUUGCUCACACGCCACCUUUUUUCAGAGGUGACAGAGAGGCUCUAUUGGCAGCAGAGGAUAUGCUGAGCAGAGCCACCACAUCCUUCUGGUGGAUAAGGAGAGGCAGCAGAGGUGGCUGCUGGAGCAGACUGAAAGUUUUUUCGGAGUGCCACAGGAAAAGAAACCAUUAUGAGAGUGUGCUAAAAGCCUAUUCAUUGCUAAGGAAAGGGCUACUGAAGAAUGUGGGAUGCAUGCCGAAAGCUGCCAGCCAGAGCAACAGAGAGAUUAUUAAGGCCCUUUGCAAAGACCCCCGUCUCCUUCCUUUGGCAGUGGCAGUUCUGGACAUGGAGUCGUUUCAGCCCUACCCAUUGAAAUCUUGUAAAUAGCUGUCUGCAUGGAGGCAGGAGCUGGGUUACAGCUGAGGGGAUUUCUUCGUGUGGGAACUCUAGGUUGCAAAUGUGGCUGUUCUCAGCUGUGCUCCUCAGUGGGCAGCAGUGCUGACCCUCUCCAGGCUGGCUGCUGGUGCAGGGGCUGUGCACACAGGCAGCUGGGGCUAGGGAGGCCUUUCAGUCUCCCAACAGGAAUAUUUUGCCCUGAAUCAGCAACUACCUGUUCUGGCAAACCAGAGCACUGUCUCCUGCUUUCUCUGUCCCAGUUUCUGCCUUCCUUUCCUGCCUGCUUUUACAUUUCUUUCUUUUACCCCACCUUAGCUUUUUACCUCCUCAGUGUUGUUUGGGAUGAGCACCUGUGAGACAAAGCCUAGCCAACGGGAACCCAUCCAAGGAACAAAGCCCCGGAGCAAUGACUCCUACAAGACAGGCUGUCCCCUUUGCUCUCUAAGGUGAAACUGAUCCUGUGACAUUGCUGUGCCCAUAACUAUUUUGUUUUAGGACCUAGUGCCCUCCCUCCCUGCGCACUCAACCUGGUGGGAGCUCUGUAGUAGUAGGUGCUGUACAGACACAUCAGGGAAACCCGCACCCCUUCAAGGGUUUCUGCUGGAUGAGUAGAGAGGCGGAGGCGCGGGAAGGUAAAGAGACAUGCCCAGGAUUAUUCAGUACACCCAGCUCUUUGAUCUGCUUUGUUCCAUGCUGGUUCCUCUGGGACCCGUAUGACAUACUUGGUCACAUUAGCACAGCUCCGGCCUGGGAGCACUGCUUUCCUGCCUCUAGGAGUGGCAUGGCAGGGAACCAGCAGGAAGGAGGAGGUGAGGCUCUACCCUCCGGGGGCUGAGAUGGUCUAUUAACUACUCGUGGCUGCAAGGAGACUCCAACAUGACCACUUCCAUACCCAAGGGUUUAAAAGUCAUGAGUCCCUCCAAAAGCAUGAGACUUUAUUGUUUCAAAAGCAUGAGGUUUGAAAGAAAAGUAAGUGCAUGCUCUUAAUUUGCCUUUGGUACUGGAACUCUUCGAUCAUAUUUUUGAGUUUUUAGCCCAAAAAUCAGUGUUUGUUCUGCCUUUUGGUUAGGCAACACAGAGCACCUUCCCUGUCUGCUCUCUCACACAUGUUCGUGAGACUUUUCAGAACCUGAAGCCUUUGGGCCCUCUGACUCUCUGUCCACCUUCAUUAAAUUUGGUUGAUGGGUUCAAGUUGUGAGGGAAUCCACAGUUAUGCCCAUACAUAGCACCCUUAAAUAAACCUCGUGUCCUUAGAAAUUGGGACCAAAGUAGAGAUGUCCAAAGUUACUGCUACUUUUUUGAGGAUACGACUGGAGGAAAGACAUGGAAACACUUCAUGUGUUGGAAAAGCAGCUCAGAGGCUGGAUCAGGAGUCUCUCUGGAAAGAAGAAAGCAUGUUUAAUAACCAAAUUCAGCUGAAGGAAAACCACAGAAAACAAACUACCUGCACCAGGAAUUUGGGGAAAGGGUAAAUGCUGGGAAAGGGGGAGAAAAGAGCACAGAGUAUUAUUUAGUUCAAGUAAAAACAGAGCAGCACAUCUGAAGAACAUAACAGGGAAGUGCAUGUUACAACUGGCCAGGAUGAAAAGAAUCAGAAAAGAAAGAAGGAGAGGCAAAGACAGCUUUAGGAGUAAUGACAGGGAGAUCCAAUUUUCAGGCAGAGCUCAGACAUGUCAGCUAAGUGGAGCCUUGUGAGACUGCAUGAUGCUUAAUCCAAAAGGCAUCCCAAAUUCCAGUAACAAUAUCCACUUCAAGCCAGCAGAUGCGCUGCUUCACCUACACCCUUAGGGCUCAAAAAAAUAUUGGUGUUUGGAGGUUUGCCCUUCCUUCCCUGCAUCCAUCCCAAAUCCUGACUUACCUUUUCAGGGGCCACAGCUCCUAACAAGGUAGGAAUGGAGAUAUUCAGCUGGGCUGAGCUAAUGGAGGGUCAGAGAUCUGCCUGCAAAAGCUUCAUAGCAUUUUCACCCCAGUGCAUCCUGGAGAUGAAUGGCUGAGAUGGGAGUACAAGUCACUUUCAUCUCCCUGGUUUACCUCCCCAGAAUUAAAUGAUGGUGUUCUUAUAAUUUCUUCUCCAGGAGACCAUGUGCACUGCCAGGAAGAGUUCAGAUAUUCCCAGUGCUGCAGCACAUUUAUGCAAGUGGUGGCCAGGUGGUACUUGGUUCCUGAAUGAUCUGAUACUGAGCAGAAAGGGGAGCAGCAAGGGUUCUCCAGGAUGUGCACAAGGAUGAAUUAUCACUGUGAGUCCCGUGACUGGAGACUGGGCACCCCUUGCACCCAGCUGGAAACAGAUAGAGAAAGUGUUCAGGAAAAAUGUUGAGAUCCAGCCUGAGCUGAAAAGGGGACACUAAUGGGGACAGGAGGUCACUGUGGUGGGUCUUGCAAGGUAGGUAGGAGGUAGGAAAUUCCUCCACGGUAGAACACCACUUCCUCGUACUUCUGCUCAAUCCAAAGUGCAGCAUGAGCAGCCAGGCACUGCUGUGUCCCACCCUUGGCAGCACAGUCGCCUGUCUUGUUGAUUCAGUUCAUUCCCAGUGGGACUGGAUGGGGCAGGAUUUGGCCCUUUGUCUCUAGAUGUCUGUCCAAUCUGUGGGCUUGCAAGCAGUGAACCGUAAAAAAAGAAGAGUUGACAAUUAAAUGCUCAAAAUCUACUAGGACUUUGUCCAGAGUGGGCUAAGCAAACAAGUACAGAUGGAGCAACCUAUGAUCUGCACAGUUACAUGAUCUGUACAGUUAAGGGUGUACUCUACACUGCUUAAUUUGCUUUAACUGUACUAAUUUAUGGCCCAGGUUUCUUGCUUAAUUAGUGAAAUGAAUAAUGAAAAGUGAAUGCAUAGAAUUAAGUCUCAACUUGCUCAUCUGGCUUAUAACCUCCAUUACUGAGCUGGGAGAGCUGUGUUCAUUUGGUGUCUGGAUGUUUAAUGUGGUUGUUCACAUGGUGCAGAAAGUGGUGAGGAAUCAGCAGAGAAAGGGACUGAGCUGAUCAGUAACCCUCAACCUCAGGGCCUAUCAGUGAAGGCUGAGUCAGUGACCAUAUGAUGUCCUUGGAAGGGCCAUUUUGGGUGAAGGGGGAUGCAAACUUUUGUGAUGCUGCUGCUGUGCAUGACACAGCAUUUGCCCGCACAUCUGGAGCAAAGUUCCCACUUCAUCCCCAAAUGAUUACCCCAGAACACAAGGACAUCACCAGGGCUCUGCAUCUUUCAUGGAAAGCAUCAUCACCCAGCCCCAGCAGGUUCUGGGUGCAUUUUUCUUCACGGAACACUGACCACUGUUGAUCCCACUCACGUGGAACCAGGCAACACCACCUCUCGUGCCUCCAGGGGACUGAAGAGGACCUCAGGGAAAAUAGUACAAAAUCUUCCCUGCAUUAGCAUUUUCAGACAGAAAACGUUCUCAAACAAUGAAUUCUAGUGGUAAGGCAGGGUUGGGUUUUUUCUACUUUUAAACCAAUCUUUUUCUAGCUGCAGAGGGUUGUUCCCUCCAUAUUGUCAAUUAGGAAAAUUAAUUUUAAAAAUCUGAUGCAAAUGCCUCUGUUUUCUUUUUUCCUCCCCUCUCUUUUCUUUCUGCUUCUUUUAGUUUUUGGACUUACUCUAUUAUUGGAUAAUAGCACUGGCUAAUUGCAUUUAAACAGUUUUAGCAAGAUUGGGUAAUUAAAUUCAGAGCAAUUGGGCUGAAAAUGCACCGACUCUGGUAGAAGUAUUUCACAAGAGGCUGAACUAGAUAAACAAGAAGGGAUGUGUGAGUUUGUGUGAGGGUAUAUGCACAUACUUAGGGUACAGAGGUCCGACUCCCAGACAGAGAAAUGCAAUAUUCAUGACUCUGGGCCCUUCCUCAGGACCUGGAAUCUAUGGAAAACAAUUCCAACUGGCAAUGGAGGCAACUUGUAAAUAUAGCCUACAUUUUCAUUAACAGCAGAUAAACCAAUUCCAGAAGUGAAAACCCCACAAAUAUCUUAGGAGCUUCUCUUGUCACUGUAUCAGAAGCCUCACUGGCAAAUACAGUAAAUAAAAAUAGAAUAAUACUUUUAUAUCUAAAUGCAUUCAGUGAAAUUCAAAUUUCCAAUAAUUAAACAGUUGCAGCCAGGUGUGUAGCUGUACUUUCAGCUCUCUUGUAGCCAGCAGGAAAACAACAAUUGUCUUUUAACCUUGUGCAUAUGCUGAAAUAGUUUCCUGGGAGUUUUUCACCCCCCCGUGUGUGAAGCAGGUAUCCAACAUGAAGGGACAUGGGACUAGAGAAGUUUUAUUCAGCUUUUUGUUGCUGGCUCCUUCCUUACUCCUCCCUGUGGCUGGGUAUGUUAUGCAGAGUUUCUUCCUCCAAAUCUCAGGCAUAUGGGAAGGCUGGUGGGAAAUGCAACAGGAUUUGGUGAAGGUUUUCUGACCCAGCAGCCCCAGUGAUGGAGCCCUGUACACUUCUCAUGGCCAUGCUGUUUCUCAGGCCCCCACAGCACACAAGCAUGAGGAGUCAUUUUGCCUUCCUAGCACCGUGCUUUGCUCCUGGUGAGGAAAUGAAAUCCUCUCAUUUUCUGCUCAGAAGGAAGGAGCAGGCAGGAAUUGCACAUCUAAAGCCCACCAACAACAUCUCUAAUGUAGCUAAAGCAAUUUGCAGAGCCUGGAAUGAAACUCGCACCAGUCUGCCUAUUUGCACAUCCUUCCUCUAUCUCCCUCUCUCAUCUGAAAGCAAGACACAAGUUUGUGAGUCACAAGCAGACUAAUUUCAGAAAAGCCACUUCUGAGAGCCUCUGGCUCCUGGAUGAGACACCGGCCCGGCUGGAGCAAACCUCCCACCAGUCCCACUGAGGCAUCCAACUGAGACAAAACAAGGCAAAACACUUCUCAUUAAACGACCCUGGCAGAAAUAGUUUCAUAAAGGGCAUCUUGUUGAUAGCAAGGACUUCAGGCUAGGGCUGUGACUCGGCCGCACCAACCACCAUGUCCACACCCGGCCUGAUGAGGAGUGAGGGUGAGCAUAGCCAGGAGAACAAGUCUGAGCCAAGGGCUUCAGCCUUGGGCUUUUCCGAGCGUUACAGCCUGUGUGGGCACUGGACAGGCACAAGUCUGGGCAAAGCUUGACAUUUCUUAGCUGCAGGGGCAGAAUUUAAUUUUGCUUCUCAAGGCAGGAGGAACUGAGGCACAUGUUGUAUGGGAAGGGAACAGUGAGGACAGAUCUUGGGCAAUGAGUUCCCACUGGAGUAAGAAAGAUGGGAGAGUGGUGGGGGGAUCUCGGGGGAAACGCUAGAAACUUACAGGAAACCUCCAGCUCUGGCACAGAUGACAGGACCAUAGUUGCCUGAUAAAAAUCUCACAGAUUUCACUACAAGUGCAGAUUUUGGAUUUCCACCAGCAUACACAAAACCCAUGCCAUAUGGACAGCAACCACAGCAGCAGAUGUUGUCACUCAGUGCUCCCCUGCUAUUGCACUGCCCAUCCAAGCAGAGAAGAUACUGUGAAGGGGAGGGUGAAGGUCUGGCCCAUGUGGUUGGUACCCCUGAGCCCCAGGUCCUCUGCAAAAGGGAGCAGGGGGGUUGAUAUUGUGUUGAGGUUUUUGGCAGUCCAGAUGCUGAGGUGUACAAAGUCAAUGUGCCUCGGGGAAGCUGGUGUUUUCUCACACCCAGACAUCUCCCCUGGGACAGGAGCCUCUUGUUUUUCCCUCCAGUCCCACUAAGACGAACCUUGCUGGAGCUACACUAAAACAUGCCAUUGCCAUCAGCACACAUCUGGAUCUAGACACAACUGAUAUAUAGACACUGGAGAACCUGAGGUGCUGGCAUAAGGCCCACAGAGUCAUUUACUUUAAAAUAAAGAAGAGCAGGGUAUGACUGUGAAAGGAGACACACACUGUGCACAAAGGGCUUGGGAUUGGUCACAGGCCAGCAUCAUAGCAGCUGUCAUCUCCUGAGGUGGACACAGUGGUACCUAGAGACACCAGUCACCUGCCCUAGCCUGCAAAAGUGUAGUCUGCUUUGCAAUUGCCAAAGAGGUAUCUUCUGAAAGUGGAAAAAGCAGGACUCUCACAGCACAGUUGUGUCCCUUGCUGGUGUAGUUCUUUUGGGGUCUGCAGUGAGUGUCCACCAUGUGGCACCAAUCCUAUGUAUGCUUGCCCAGCCUCUCACUGCACCUCAGAGGGAUUUGAUGACCAUCUGCUACUCUCCCUGCAUGUAGGGACCAGGUUUCUGAGUGCUGUGAAAGUCUUUUCUCUACUCUGGGCCCUCAAAAGAAGCAAUGUUAUUCUUCCAAAGGCUUCCCCCAAACAUCUAAGAAUGAUUAGCUGAUGCACAGCUCCAAAGUAAACUAUAGCUUUCUGAGGUCCUGGGGGUGCCCUCUUUGGGAAAAGAAGCUUGAUCCCACAUCACCACCUCAAGCAGGGUUAACCUAAGGCCUCCUGGCUGCCAGCGCCAGCACAGGCCCCAUUGCAUGACAUUGAGCAUUUCCAGUUCAGCAGACUCACUUUGUUUGCAUUUUAUUGCCCAGGCAUGACUUAUAUCCUUGCUGAGGGAUGUGUCCACAGUCAGUGUGCCAGGCUGGGCACAGCCUGUCCUCUGAACUGAGCCCGAGAUGCUGCAGGCGCAACCAGCAGCUGCUGGGGUCACACAACAUUUUUGGCUCUGUAGAUGUUUGUGUUGCAGUUUCCUCACUUGGGUCCUCAUCUGCCUCAGCGAAGAUGAACUGGCCAGGACUGACAGAGUGGAAGGGCCCUCAGGUAAAAUACCCUCCAGAGAGAUGAUGCACUGUUGUUUUACAAACCCUCUUCAGCGGGGUACCGUAUUACUUGGGCUGCUUGACUAAAGUGUUUUGCUCCUAUUUAGGGGUCAUUUUCAUUAGGGUGAACCCAGGACUUGUAUGGAUGUGGAUAUCCCCCUGUUCUAUUUGAAGAACCAAACAGAAGUUUUAAUUCCCCUACUGACUCCUAUAAACUCUGCUGCUUUUCUCUGGGGACCAUGCUGCUGUUGAAAGCUGGUCCCAUUCCUCUGCUUAAGGCAGGGGCAGUUUUCCAUUGAACAGAUUCCAACUGCAAACUCUGAGCAGCUCUUACCAUGAACCCCUCGCAGGCACACAGAGCAGAGGCAGGAGACACUGACACCUCCUGGUAUAGUGUAUCGCUGGGAAAUGACUCACCAGCCAUUGCCUGAGAAACUCUGCUUUGGGGUGUACCCAACACGACAUACUGGGUUUCACUCUGAUGCAUGGGCCACCUUAGAACCCGGUCUUGCUUUGAGGUGUCAGGAGAUUCUGCAUUUUUGUCAUGAACACGUGGUUGUUUUCUCAUUGUUUCUUUAGCAUUCCACUGUUUCCCUGCCAAGGCUGUGGUUUAGCUUAAAAAAAAUCCAUUCCGCUUUUUAGUACAGUUUGCCAUACAGCUCAGUGUUUGCUAAUAUUGCAGAAACUUUCUUAAUUUUUUUGAGAACAACAUUUUCAUACAAGCCCAGCCCAGCUGGUGAGCUCAGCAAUCUGGGCAAAUAUUUCUGUGUCCUUUCCCUGCACGAUGAACCUGACUGUGCCCUCGCUCAGAGACUCACAGACCACACCAUCUUACUGUUGUUCACUUGAAGUCCAUUCAAUUUGGCAGAAUUUUUGCAAUGGGAGUUAAUUAGGGGGAGCUUGCUGAUGAGAAAGUACUAGGGCAAAUGAAAGUCGGGCUCAAGUAUCUCUCUUGCAUGUCUAACAGAAGUGAAACACAAACAAAAAUUAUUGCAACAGAUGCAAAUCAAGUUCCACAUCUCUUCUUAUCAGGAACAAGUCACAACACUGAGUCUCAAUAUUUUGAAGUUGUACAUAGGAGAGAGACGGUCACAAAAUAACAUCAUCUGGAAAAGCAGACCAGAAGUUAUUCUCUGUGUUUUUCAAGAAAGAAAGGGGAACAAGUAGCAAUCUUACUUGAUUUAUCCUAAUAAAUACUUACUGCUCCUUAAAUAAUAGAAGAAGCAAUGAAGAGCAUCCCUGAAAUCAAGCUCAGCCUUCGGAGUAACUUUACCAUUUCGGAUUUUCACAGGGAAGCAUCCUCCAGUUCCCAUGCGAUGAACCUCAGCUUUGAGAUGCUGUCGGUGCUGAACCCCCUGUCCCUCCGGAACCGCAGGGCUCAAACCCCAGCGGGCUUAAAAGGAUGAAGGCAGUGGAAUAAAGGGAAAGCAAAGCUAUUUUGAUUGCACAGUGCCACCCACUGUCGGAGAGACAGACGGCACCGGGGCCGCUGCGCGGGAUGGGCGGGGCGUUGCUGCUCCCAUCAGUAACAAAGAUAUUUCUCUGAGACGUAUCGUUCUGAUAUCUAAGACAGACAGACGUCUGUGAGGCAGCUCUCUGCAUACGGUGGGAUAUAAACUCACAGAUAGAUACAUACUGCUGGGGUCAGUUGAAUAUUGCAUAUAUAUAUAUAUAUCUCAAUAUGAUAUAAAUAUUGUCUGUAUCAAUCAA